CUCCACUUAAAGCGGGUGUGCCAUCGUACAUAAUUGUACGCAAUCAACGCGAUAUUCAGCUGCUGAAUAGCGCGCGUGUGUAGUGUUGUAGUUGGUGGCUCAUUAAUUAAGGAAGUGAAGACAACGAGGCAAAGCGAAAUAAACGUAAAAGUAAAAGUAACAAUACAAAAAUCACUAAACAAAAAAAACAGCUAAAACCAGCAAAAAUUUGCCGAUAAUAGCUACAACAACUGUUAAGCUAUUAAUCAAAUUUAAUAAA